GAUCGGCUAUUUAAACAUUAUAGAAUUGAUUGUAAGCAGUGUUCUCCAAAAUUUGUGUAGCAUCUCAAGUAUCAUAGGUCAUCUUUUCUGCCUCUUCCCUAACGGAAUCAAACA